rnacentral:lncRNA from 1 species
CCAGAGGGGAGUCGGCGGAGGCCUCGCUCCAGCUCCAGCGUCCCUGUCACCUGGACAGCGUGAGGUUGGCUCAGCCGGCGUGGGGCGCAAUCUUCAAUCAAGACCCGUGAUGCUUCACGUCUUCCUUCCUACUGCGGCUUCACUCUCACGGAUGAACUUCUGGAACUCUGUUGAGCAUAGAGUUUCCCUGUUUUAUGAAUCAGUUUUGGAGAACUCGCCUGAUUUGUUAGUCAGAAAUGGAGUUUAAACCGUGGAUACAGAGACGGUACAGACAUACGCCGGGAGUUAUUAAGACCUUCCUGUGGGAAAAGAUCUGCCACAUUUCAGAGAUUUGGAGCUCUCUGUGGAGCCAAUGGCGACAUACAAUUUUUGUUACUUGAGGUGCAUUUCAUCCAUUUUGAAAAAAUUUGAAAAUGCAGAAAGAACAAGGCAAAGAAUAAUUACAGCCAUGAUUUAAUUCUGAAUAAAUCUCGCAAUAAGAUUAUUUUUUUAUUGAUGCCCCUUCAGCGUCCUGCUAAGCGUUUACCACUUUCUGUAAAUUGUAUGGGAAGAUGGGAAGAUUACAGAUCUCAUUGGGCAAAAUAGGAUAUACUAAAAGAAAACAGAUUAACCUCUUUCCUGAUAAGAAGAGAAACCGAGAGGACCAUCUGUGAGACCCAGGUUGUGAGGAAUUUCUUUUUUUAACAUGCAUCAAAAUAUAUUAAUAUACAUUGCCUUUGGCAGAUGAAAUGUGUUAUUUCUUUAAACAAGUUCAAAGAUGUUUAUGUAAAAACAGUGAACAUAGGCACUAGUUUCUUUAUCUUUUGAAAAGAAAAGAACUAAUAAAAAUGGAAAUUCCACAAAUGUCUGUAUCUUAGAAUGAGAUCAGUCAAAAUUUUUCCAGUGCCUAAGAAAACACUUUAAAAAAUUUUUAAGCAUUAAACUUAACAUGCCGUGUCUUAGAAGAUACAUGACAGCAACCUGGAUUUAGGGGUUUAGAUGAAGUCUUUGAAGUGUCUUAAAUCUCCUUGAGACCUAAAAGACUGUUUAUAACCAACAGUU